GACAGAGGUGCCGAGCGUUAGGCGGAAUCACUGGGCUUAAAGCGUGUGUAGGCGGGUCGUUAAGUGUCUUGUGAAAUCCCCCGGCUCAACCGGGGAAUGGCUGGGCAUACUGGCGAUCUUGAGCAGUCUAGGGGCAGAUGGAACAAGUGGUGGAGCGGUGAAAUGCGUAGAUAUCACUUGGAACGCCAAAGGUGAAAACAGUCUGCUGGGGACUUGCUGACGCUGAGACACGAAAGCCAGGGGAGCGAACGGG
rnacentral:rRNA from 1 species